rnacentral:rRNA from 1 species
CAUGUAGGCGGAUUGAUAAGUUUGAAGUGAAAUCCUAUAGCUUAACUAUAGAACUGCUUUGAAAACUGUUAAUCUAGAAUGUGGGAGAGGUAGAUGGAAUUUCUGGUGUAGGGGUAAAAUCCGUAGAGAUCAGAAGGAGUACCGAUUGCGAAGGCGAUCUACUGGAACAUUAUUGACGCUGAGAUGUGAAGCGUGGGAGCAAACA